rnacentral:tRNA from 4 species
GCUCUCGUAGUUCAACGGAUAGAAUGCUGGCCUGCGAAGCUGGCGAUCCAAGUUCGAUUCUUGGCGAGAGCACCA